rnacentral:lncRNA from 1 species
AUGUUUGUGUCCAUGUUCAACUACCUCUGGGGAGUCCAUCAUUGUGCCUUCUACCUUCCAACCCCACCAGGAGGCUGACUUUGUGAUUCAAGACUUCACUAUGAAAUGUAGCAAACUUCAGGAGUUAGAUUAUGUUCUCACUGCAGCACUGCCUGAUCUGGAGAAAAUUAAUGAGGGUGAUGUGGAAGGAUCCCUUAAGAAAAUAUUUGAGCAACUAGAAGGAGAGGACAAGGAGGUUGACAUCCACGGGUUUGGAAAAAUACUCAACAAGAUGAUCUCCAAAGGCCACCUUCUGCAAAUAUGAUCCAGACAAGUCUGGCACCAUGAACUCCUACGAGAUGCGCCUGGCCGUGGAAGCAGCCAAUGAAGAGGGCGAC